GACGAACGCUGGCGGCGUGCUUAACACAUGCAAGUCGAACGGAAAGGCCCUGCUUUUGUGGGGUGCUCGAGUGGCGAACGGGUGAGUAACACGUGAGUAACCUGCCCCUGACUUUGGGAUAACUUCAGGAAACUGGGGCUAAUACCGGAUAGGAGCUCCUGCUGCAUGGUGGGGGUUGGAAAGUUUCGGCGGUUGGGGAUGGACUCGCGGCGUAUCAGCUUGUUGGUGGGGUAGUGGCUUACCAAGGCUAUGACGGGUAGCCGGCCUGCGAGGGUGACCGGCCACAUUGGGACUGGAAUGCGGCCCAGACUCCUACGGGAGGCAGCAGUGGAGAAUAUUGCACAAUGGGCGGAAGCCUGAUGCAGCAACGCCGCGUGCGGGAUGACGGCCUUCGGGUUGUAAACCGCUUUCGCCUGUGACGAAGCGUGAGUGACGGUAAUGGGUAAAGAAGCACCGGCUAACUACGUG
rnacentral:rRNA from 1 species